GGGUGUAUAGCUCAGCGGUAAAGUAUUCGACUACAGAUUGAGAGGUCUCUGGUUCAAACCCGGGUGUCCA
rnacentral:tRNA from 1 species